AUUGAACGCUGGCGGCAGGCCUAACACAUGCAAGUCGAACGAGUGGCGGAGGGGUGAGUAAUGUCUGGAAAACUGCCUGAUGGAGGGGGAUCACUACUGGAAACGGUCGCUAAUACCGCAUACCAUCGGAUGUGCCCAGAUGGGAUUAGCUAGUAGGUGGGGAAAAGGCUCACCUAGGCGACGCUCCCUAGCUGGUCUGAGAGGAUGACCAGCCACACUGGAACUGAGACACGGUCCAGACUCCUACGGGAGGCAGCAGUGGGGAAUAUUGCACAAUGGGCGCAAGCCUGAUGCAGCCAUGCCGCGUGUAUGAAGAAGGCCUUCGGGUUGUAAAGUACUUUAAGUUGGGAGGCGUUACCAACAGAAUAAGCACCGGCUAACUUCGUGCCAGCCGCCGCGGUAAUUC
rnacentral:rRNA from 1 species